UCACUGAGGAAGAAAGACAACUUCAACAGAAUAUUCGCAAAUUACAAAACCAACUCGAAGCUAAAGAACAGGAACAUCGUCAAAGGGAAUGGAGACUUGUGGACAAACUGUAGGAAAAUGAUGUCACAAUACAGACGCUAAAUCAAUCAAUCGCAAACUUAAAGAGCAAGAUGGACUAACAGAACCAGGAAUAUUCCAGAUUAACUGUAGCAAAGGAUGUUGAACUGGAAACGUUGCAUCAACAGGAUGCCAAUAUGAGAUCUGAACUCGCGCGGAGAAAAAAUAAUUUUGAGAGGAGGCAGAAAGAGUUGUCUUUAUCUUUGGAAAGAGAGUCGUCGUUGGAACGUUCUAGGGCUGAGCUAGAGUUAGAUUGGCAGCGCAGAUAUGAAUAGGAAGAAAGAACUGGGUACAUAUGAUAAACAAGGAGAACUAGUUAAGAAUUUAACACAAGGCAAAGAAGAGGCGUUAUCGUUGGUGUAACAACAGAAACGUGAACUGCUUCACAAGGAUAGUGUUAUCCAUAUUUUGAAGACACAAAGAGAUGAAUCAGUUUCUAUCCUCAAGCUUCAUGGACUAACCGUGCCUUCCCAAAUAUCAGAUUUUAUCAGUCAUGCAUGUUUCACCAGUCGAAGAUGUUGGCACACCAGCAGCGAAUAUGAAUAAUAAAGAACUUCCAGUUCAGAACGAAAAUUUGCGUCUGUUAUUCAUCAAAUGAGAGAGGACAUGGAGGAUUUGACGAAACAGUUGACGCAACGUACCACUGGAUCGAUUACUAAUGCAAGAGAUGGCGUACCCAUUA